UCACACCCUGCCUUGCCUCCAGACCUGUCUUUUCUCCAUGGAGUUGGCUGAUGACCUAGGUUAGAGCUGCUCUCCUGGCUUUUUUUUGGUCCCUGCUGGGGUGGUGCUGCUGGUGGUGCAAGGUGGUGCCUUGCUGUGCUGGGGAGCUCCUGCUGCUCCAGCUCCCUGACCUGUGGACAAGCUGCUGCUGAAGUCAAGUACUCCCCAAUGCACAGCCGUUGCCAUCUGAAACACACCAAUGAGUUUAGCUGCCUCCACUUCAUCCCGGACAUGAUACGGUGCUUGGAAGCCACUCUGGCGUGAGAAGAAGGCUGGGAACUCUCUUGAUUCUCCAAAGGCAGCCACACACACCCCCUGAGUCUCCUGCAGCAGUGGAGGUUGUGGUUAUCUUUGAACACCCCAUUCUACUCUGUCCUCUCACCAAGAGCCAGACGUAGUAAGUGGCUAGAUCAGAUUGGCUCACUGAGGCAAAGGAGGCAUGUGCAUCUUUGUGUGUGCUCAGGGCUGAUCCAAAGCCAUGCAGCUGCCAUUGGCACCAUCCUGAGUCCAAGAUAACACCCUGGGAUCUGAAGACAUGUCAUGAACUGAGAGUAUAUCAACGAGUUCUGUUUGCAAUUGAGAAACAGCAAUGUCAGCUGUCACCUGAAGUGCUGGCCCUGGUGGUUUCCAACAUGCCGAACCUUAAAAGGUGACUAAUGAAAAUCAUCUGGAUGCCCUUUUUAAUUCUGAUUUUAUUUAGUGUUUGAUGGAUCUAGCUUUCUUGAUCUGUCAGUUUCUGGGAGCAUCUUCCCAGAAAAGGAAAUCUAAUGCCAAAGGAAAAGGACGUGGCUAGCACUACCUUUGACCUCAGCUGGAGCAGCUGCUGGAGCAGCCCCUUGGACGUGGAUAGAUUCGUGUUAGGGAGCAUUCAAGUGCUCGUACAGCCCCAGGACUACUUAACUGUAAAAAUGGCUUCACAUCCUUUCAGCAGCAAUUUCUGAAAAUCUUUGGCUUAGGACCCAUCCCAAUGCCACUGGGCACUCUGUGCACAAAGAAAUGCUUCCAGACACCACAGCCCAUGCUACCUACCAGAUAUUCCAGUGUCCUGC